UACGGAGGGGGCUAGCGUUGUUCGGAAUGACUGGGCGUAAAGCGCACGUAGGCGGCUUUGUAAGUUAGAGGUGAAAGCCCAGGGCUUAACCCUGGAAUUGCCUUUAAGACUGCAUCGCUAGAAUUGUGGAGAGGUAAGUGGAAUUCCGAGUGUAGAGGUGAAAUUCGUAGAUAUUCGGAAGAACACCAGUGGCGAAGGCGACUUACUGGACACAUAUUGACGCUGAGGUGCGAAAGCGUGGGGAGCAAACAGG
rnacentral:rRNA from 1 species